GUAUCGCUUGAACCAUGUGGGCCCAGGCCCCACCCAACUGUUCCUGGGCACAGUGCCAGAAUGGGGAAGGGGUGGGUCUGUACAUCUCUGAGCUUCCACACAAACAGAUGCAACAUGGGGGCGCCCCUGGCACAGGGAAAGGCACUUGUGGGAAUAGAUAGGAACUCAGGAAAACAUGUAACACACUGUACACGUGUAGCAUCCCCGUGCCUAGGGACAUGCAAUGUUGCAGCGUUUACAUCACAUUAUGCACCAAACAUGAUACACUGCAGUACAUAUGUGGCUCCUACAUACUAGUUACCCAUAGUACUCAGCACAUACGUGGUACCUGUGAGCUUAUACACAUAUAGCAUCUCUACAUACAGGAACAAGCUGCAUGCAUUCAGGACCCAAGCACAUAUUAAUACUCUGUGCAUGUGUGUAGCACUUGCACACAUGAGCCAGGCAACAUUGCAGUGUACACGUAGGGCACCUGUAUGCAUAUGCAAAGUUCAGAGCACAUAAGUGGCACCUGCAUGCACAGGGACAUGCAAUAAGCAAUGCACACGGGGCAGGCUUCAGUCUCCAGAGCCCGGGAGACCCUGGCUGCGCGAGAUGCUUCUGGCUUGGGGUAUCGCUGGAGGGGCGUCGCGAAUCGCCUCACUCGGCGGUCCUGGAAGCCACAAGCCGGGGUGGGGGCUUACCCGGGGCUUCUCCCGCGCCGGCGCCUGAGGCCCGGGGAGGAGAGGGGGAGGGCGCGCUUGGCUAGGCUGGCGCUGCUCCCCCUUUAACAGGAGGCGGCGCGCGUCCCCCCCACCACCACCACCCUUCUCCCGCGGCUCCUCGCGCCCGUCCCGGCGCGCGCCCCCUCCCGGGCCCAGCCCGCGCAGGCGCCGCGUCCCGCCUCGGCCGUCACUCGGCCCGGCGCGCGUUGCGGGCAGCGGCCGGAGCGGCCGGAGGAAUCCGGUUCGGCGGCAGCGGCGGUGACAGCGGCGACGCUCGGAGACCGAGGAGGAUGCGGCACCGGCGCUCAGAGCCUGGGGCUGCGGCCGCCGCCCGCGAAUAGGAGGCGGCGCGCAGCGCAGGAGGUGCUCGGGGCGGGGAGCGGGGGCGGCGUGGCGAGGAGGCGGCGGCAGAAGCCCGCGCCCGCGCCCGGCCCGGCGCCCGCCCGACCGCCCGCCCGCCCCGCGCUGCUCCGCGGCGCCUUUUCUGCACUCGCCGCUCCACGGAGCGGGAGCCUCGGCCCUCUGCGCGGCUGCAGCGAGCUGCCCUGCGUCCGGCCCGGCCCCCGCCUUAGGGAUGGCAAACUUGCGCCCUGUGGCCGCCUCCGCCAGCGCCGGCCCCGCUCCUGCUGCUGACGGCGCCCAGGUGAGGAGCCGGAAGAGGAACCGAAGGUGAAAACCCAGUGGCCAAGGUCUGCAGAUGAGCCUGGGCUAUACAUGGCGCAGACAGGGUAA
rnacentral:lncRNA from 1 species